CCAGGAAAAUGACCUAUGAAUUGACAGACUGCUUCCCAAAUUUGCCUGUCAUUUCUAUAGGCCAAUAUUCUGC
rnacentral:pre_miRNA from 1 species